GCGGAUAUAGAUGAAUUGGUACAUCAGUGAUUUUCCACGUCAAAGGCUAUGGGUUCGAGACCCAUUAUCCGCU
rnacentral:tRNA from 1 species